CUUGUGUGAGUUGUUUUCAGUCACUGUGAAGAGGCAGCAAGAUUAUCAUUAACUCCACUUCUGUUUUCUUUUGAAGUAGAAGACGUGAAAGUUUCUGAAAUCUCAUAGACCAUGGGAGCCAGAGUGACAGUGAUAAACAGUACACCCUACAGUUGGUACUACAAAGAUCCGAAAUCUGGGUCAGACCGCUGGAUAGCUGAAAAAUCCAGAAUAACAUAUGAUGACUACAAGUCAAUCCACUGCUACAUCUACCUAAAACGUGAAGGUAAAACUGUCUACGAUUUCACUUAUGAAUUUAAUUCAAAUAAAGGAGAUCCAACAUUUACCAUACAAGAAAGUACAGACGGCUCAAUGAUUCAACUACACUGUAGCACAGAGGAUGAGGUCAAGAGAUGUGAAAACGUUGGCAAAAAAAAAUAAAGGAAGUUUGGAACUCUCAGAGAAUCUGGCCAUCGAAGAACCACAAUGUACCAAGUGGCAUCCCUGAGGUCAUGUACAAAGUUCCACAGCUGUGGGGCUCUGAGGAUUUUCUUGUUCCACACAGCAUUGACCGCUGCAAACAUGCACUCUUCUUGUACUUAGUGAUGAAUGAAGUGCCCCUUUGCUAUGCUGGCAAUAAAUACUCAAGUUAUUUUAAAGUAAAAUAAACUACAAUGUCUAACUUUAAA